ensembl:lncRNA
CCAGAAAUGGUCUGAUAUUAACUUCAGUUGAGUCAUUUAUUUACUGGUGUUUCGCUGAAAAAAUUGAUACAACACAUACAGGAAGCAUGAUAAACAUUUCAUUGCUGCAGAGACCAGCUUCAGGGAAGGAGAGGUGCUCCAGACCUCUGAUCAUCUUUGUGGCCCUUUUCUGGGCCCUCUCCAACAGCUCCACAUCCUUCCUGCAUUGAGGGUCCCAGACCUGGACACAGUACUCCAGAUGGGGCCUCACGAGGGCCUCCCUGUCCCUGCUGGCCAUCCCUCUUCUGAUGGAGCUCAGGAUACUCUUGGCCUUCACAGCUGCAAGAGCACACUGCUGGCUCAUGAAGUUUUUCAUCCACCAGGACUACCAGGUCCUUCCUUGCAGGGCUGCUCUCAAGGAGUUCUCCCAGUAUACGAAUCUGGGAUUACUCUGACCCAAGUGUAAAACCUUACACUUUGCUAUGUUGAACCUCAUUAGAUUCACACAGACCCACCUCUCAAGUUUGCUGAAGUCCCCCUGGAUGGCAUCCCUUCCUUCUAACAUGUCAAUCGUACCACUUAACUUGGUGUCAUCAGCAAACUUGCUGAGAGUGCACUUGAGACCAUCAUUGAUGUCACUGAUGAAGAUGUUGAAGAGACAGUGAGAGUUCAUACUGAGAGAUACUUCUAGCUCAAUGUGACCUGUUUAAACCAUCUCCCAUUCAUGAGUGUCAAGGAGAAAGAACAAAGAAAAUGCCUAACAACCCUUUCUGUAAAGAAGUGUUUCCUGAUGUCCAACCUAAACUUAUCCUGGAGCAACUUAAGGCCAUCUCUCCUUGUCCUGUCAGCAGUGAGAAGAGACCAGCCCCACUCUUGCUGUAAGCAACUUUCAGAUAUUGGAAGAGAGCAAGUUCUCCCCUCAGCCUCCUUUUCCCUAGACUGAGCAGUCCUAGUUCCUUCAGCGUCUCCUCGUAGGGCACAUUCGCCAAGCCUUUCACAAGCCCUGUUGCCCUUCUCUGGAUCUGCUCCAGCAUCUCAGUGUCCUUCUUGUACUGAGGUGCCCAAAACUGAACAAAGUACUUGAGGUGAGGCCUCAUCAGGGCCGAGUACAGGGGCAGGAUGACUUCCCUAGUCCUGCUCACCACACCGUUCCUGAUACAAACCAGGAUGCCAUUGGCCUUCUUGGCCACCUGGGCACACUGCUGGCUCAUACUCAGAUGACUGUCCAUCAGUACACCAAGGUCCCUUUCCAUCUGGCAGCUUUCCAGCCACUCCUCCCCAGGCCUGGAGGGUUGCCUGGUGUUGUUGUGACCAAAAUGCAGGACCCGACACUUGGCCCUACUGAAACUCAUACAGUUUGCCUUGGCCCAUUGAUCCAGUCUAUCCAGGUCCCUCUAUAGUGCCUUUCUCCCUUCAGGCAGAUCAGCACUCCCUCCCAACUUGGUGUUGUCUGCAAACUUACCGAGGGAGCACUCAAUCCCCUCGUCAAGAUCAUCAAUGAAGAUGUUAAAUUGAAGUGGCCCCAGUACUGAGCCCUGGGGGAAAGUGCUUGUGACCAGCCACCAACUAGAUUCAACUCCAUUUUCCACAACUCUUUGGGUCCUACCAUCCAGGCAGUGUUUCACCCAGCGGAGCAUACGCCCAUCCAAACCGUGGGCAGCCAGCUUCUCCAUGAGAAUGUUGUGGGAGACAGAGUCAAAGGCUUUACUGAAGUCCAGGUAGACCACACUGACAGCGUGACCCUCAUCCAUGAAACCGGUCACCUUGACAUAGAAUGAAAUCAGGUUGGUCAAAUGGGAUCUACCAUUCGUAAACCCAUGCUGACUGGGCCUGAUCCCCUGGUUGACCUUUAACUGGUCCAUGAUGGCUCCUGAGAUUAUCUGUUCUGUAACGUUCCCCGGCACCAAGGUGAGGCUGAUAGGUCUGUAGCUACUGGAUCAUCUUUCCGUUCCUUCUUUGAAGAUAGGCAUUACAUUUGCCAGUCUCCAGUGUACCAGGACAUCCCCAGUUAGCCAGGACUGCUGAAGAAUGAUGGAGCGUGGCUUGGCAGCCACAUCUGCCAACUCCCUCAUCGUUUUAGGGUGCAAUCCAUCCAGCACCAUGGACUUGUAAGCAUCCAGCUUUUGGAGCAGGUCCAAAACCACCUCAUCGUGGAUCAUGCAGGGCCUAUUCUGUUCCCCAUCCCUAUGUACCAGCACAGGGGGGCUGUGUUCCCAGGGAGUAACAAGUCUUACUAUUAAAGACUGAGGCAAAGAAGAUGGCUGAACUCAUUUAGUUUACAGGUGAAUCUAGCAGUGUCUUAUUUCUGGUCUGCACCAGGAAGCUGGUGGGUGAUUUGCUCACCACUGUGUUGUCUUCCUAUUACAUGUUCAGGUAACUGAAUUCACCCACGAGGACCAGGUAAUGUUGUCCUGAAUCUUUCUUGAGUAUUUACAAUGAAGUUUCGUCAGCCUAAUCAUACUUGUUAGCAAGUCAGUAACAGAUACUUAGCGUAAGAUCCUUUAUAUGAUGAUCCCUCUAAUUUUGAUCCAACAACAUUUGAACCAAACAAUUUGCGCAGCUACAGUCUUUCCAUAUUACUGGAACACUGAAAAGAUGUCAUCUAAAAGAAACUCUGAGGGAAGUGCAAUGAUAGUUGUAACUAUAAAAAUAAAUGGAUCUAACUUCAUAACUGAUUCUAUGGAAUUAAUUGUAGUGGUGGUCAUUGAAUACAGAUCCUGCUGAUACAACUACUGAAUUUUAAAAGAUUCAGCUCAGAAAAGCAAUAUGCACAAACAGAAGUCACUGCAUGUGACUAUUUCUUUACAAAUGGUGAAACUCAUCCAAGCAAGCUGCAUUAGUUAUGAAGAGUUGUUUUACAAAUGACUGUGCCAUCUCAUCCCACAUCUACUCCCUCCGGUGACAACCAACAUGUCUUGUAGUUUAAAUAGACACAAGUAAAGACUGAGACUAAGUGAGUCUGAUUUAAUCACCUUUAUAUUUUUUAAGUAAUGAAAAUGAAUUAAAUAUGUCCUGAAAUAAAAUGUCAUGAAAAGAACAUUUGUACAUUGGUUUUGGACCAUGUUUCAAAGAACAAAAUAAAUGAAAGGCUGUCACCUGCCAUCAAGACCUCAGUUUUUCUUCAUUCAUGUUCUUUAGCAAAGUCAAAGGCCAAACAGUGAAAAUAUAUUUUUAAUUGAAUUUUAAAACUCUACAGCCUAAUGAAGUUAGUGGAGUGCAUACAAAUCAUAUUAUUGAAUGCAGCUAGAAGCUUUGAUUCAUUUUGCCUUACAGCUAAAGAAGAAUGUGUGCUCAUUGUAGGAGUAAUAAACAUGGAUAAUUAUGCAUAAUUACAGAGAUUCCUUUCCAAUUAAAGUUCAAUUUCUGUAACAAUUUUACCCAAAAGUCUUUUAAGUUUUUUGGUAGCAGUAAUGAAGGUAACUCAAGGUAAUAAGGAUUCUUAUGAUAAUAGGAAGAAAAUAAAUAAAUAAAACUGCAGGUCUGGGUAGUAUGAAUGCUUUGUUGUCAGCGUUAAGUUUUAAACUUCAUACUUGCUUUUGCUUCAACACUUGAAACACUUCCCUAUAGCAUUAUCGUAAGUCAGAAAAAUGUAUUCUUCUGUCGUAUACAUAGAAACAUUCUGCUAGCAUACUGAAAAAAGUUUCUUUUUUUUUGUUUUGCAUUUGAUAAAAGAAAACGAGGAGUAUUUGCAAGUCAGUUAUUUAUAUCUUUGCCAGUCCUGUAAAUCUUAUUCCAUCUGAGUUCCUUUAUUUCACUGCAUAUUCAUUAUUUUAAUGAGCUUAAAAUAUUUCUCAUUUUAUUAAUAAAAAUAACAUUAAAUUACAAAAAUACAAACUAUUAUAAUUAACAUUUCCACAUGACAUUCUUAAGAACGUUUUCCACAGUAAUAAGUAUCAUGACAGAGUAUAAAUAUCACUCAGUCUCUCGUUAUAUAAUUUCACGUACAUUCAACUUUUUCUAAAUAUAUUUGAUAAACCACAAACCUAUUAUAGUAAUAUAAGCAAUGUCUUAAAGUGAUACUCUGGUGCAAGAAUAAGUAGCUCUUCAAUUUGAAAACAUUUUUCAAACCUGAUCAUUACUUAUACAGGGAGGGGCAUUGCAAAUAAACUAACUGUAUAAGUUUGUGACCACCUGAGCAAUCUGAGUAUCCGUAAGUCUAUAGGUCCCAACAAGAUGAAUCUCAGAGUCCUGAGGGAGUUGGCUGAUGUACUCACUAAGCCAUUCUCAAUAAUGUUUAAAAGGUCAUGGCAGUCAGGCAAAGUCCCUGGUGACUGCAAAAAAAGGCAACAAUUUUUAGAAGGGUAAAAAGGAUGAGCCAGAGAAUUACGGACCUGACAGCCUCACCUCUGUAUUGGAGAAGAUCCAGGAGCAGAUCCUCCUGGAAGCUAUGCUAAGACAUGUGGAAGAGAAGGAGGUAAUGUGGGACAGCAAGCAUUGUUUCACCAAGAUCAAGUCCUGCUUGACCAACCUUGUGGCUGUCUAUAGUGGUGUAACACAUCAGUGGAAAAGGGGAGAACCACUAAUUUAAUCUAUCUGAACUUUAGUGAGGACUUUUACAUGGUCCUCUCCAAAACCCUUCUCUCCAAAUUGGAAAGAUAUGGAUUUGAUGAGUGGACUGUUCAGUGGAUAAGGAAUGCGUUGCAAGAUGAUACCCAAAGCGUACUGGUCGAUGGCAGUGUCCAAAAGGAGAUAACUGAUGAGAGGUGUAGCUGACACACCAGAAACUGGUCAAAGGUGGUGAUUCUGCUUCUCUAAUCUGCACUGGUUACACCUCACAUGGAAUACUGUGUCUAGAUAUGGAGUCUUCAGUACCUGAGAAACACUGACUAGUUGGAGUCCAUCCAGGUGGCUACAGGAUGAAGGGUAAUUUGAUCCAAUGAUGAAAUACUAAUGUAAUGUUGAGAUUAUUUUUUUCCUGUGCUUUUGUAAUUUCAAGGUCCUGUUGAUGUCGGUGUUUUCAGAUACAUACACACAUAAUUAUUUCUAUUAUGAAUUAAAAUAAAACAGGUUAAAUUUUAUGUAAAAUGAAAACUUCAUGAAAAAAGGACUGUUCAGCAUAAAUCAAAAUGUAUUUGGAUGAUUUACAAUAUUUUAUUUAAUAUCUAUGAGCACAUAAGUACAAAUCUUAAUUUUUGUUUGUUUUUAAGUGUAAGUAAAUAUGUAAUUUCAUACAUUUCAUCAUUUAUACGUAUAUAUAUAUAAUUUUAUCAGAGUGUUUGUUUGAUCAUAACAGUUUUAAUCAACACAAAACCUGAUAUUUUCAUGUGGAAUAUUUAUAUUAUAUCUCAACAAAUAAAGUAAUUGUAAAG